UACAGAGGGUGCGAGCGUUGUCCGGAAUCACUGGGCGUAAAGGGCGCGUAGGCGGCCCGGCAAGUCAAUGGUGAAAGCUCAGGGCUCAACUCUGAGUCGGCCACUGAUACUGCGGGGCUCGAGUCUGGUAGAGGCAGAUGGAAUUCCUAGUGUAGCGGUGAAAUGCGUAGAGAUUAGGAAGAACACCAGUGGCGAAGGCGGCUUUCUGGACUGUAACUGACGCUGAGGCAUGAAAGCGUGGGGAGCAAACAGG
rnacentral:rRNA from 1 species